UAAUUGCAACAAAUGAUGGAGUUUUACUAAGAAACCAUAUUCCACGCAUUCUUAAGAACCAUUUCAGGGGAAAGCCAUAUUAAGUAGAUCUUCUUGAUUUGUUUAAUGAGGUUGAGUUCCAGACUGCUUCAGGACAGAUGAUAGAUCUAAUUACCACACUGCAAGGAAGAAAAGACCUGUCCAAAUACACAUUAACUCUGUGAGUACGGGAAAACAAGGAGAACAAUUGGAGAGAAAUUAUCAUUGCUUAACCACUUUUUUGACAAACAUGAAAUCAUGUAUCAUAUGUAAAUGUGACUAAAACAACUAUAAGAAAAAAAAGUAUAAAUUCUUCUGCUAGAGAGUAAAUCACGUCCUUUCUAUAGAGUGCAAUUAAGUGUAUUCCGUAAAACCUGACUGGAAGCUGACACCAGAAGAGAGAUAACUGCUGCCUUUUCCUAGUUCCUUCUUACACAGGUUACAUGUGCAUUGCUCAUGGCGGGUGAGAAUCUGGAAAACCAUGUUGAUGUGAAGAACAUUCUUGUUGAGAUGGGAACCUACUUUCAAGUACCGGAUGAUUAUUUGGAUUGCUUUGGGGAUCCUGAUACUAUUGGAAAGGUGAGAA